CCAAUAGCGUAUAUUAAAGUUGUUGCAGUUAAAAAGCUCGUAGUUGAACUUCGGGGUCUACCCAUUGGUCAGGCUUAAUUGUCUGCACUGGUGAGAUGGAUCUCUACCUUCUGAGGAACUUUCAUGCCAUUUAUUUGGUGUGGUUGGAAAUCAGGACUGUUACUUUGAAAAAAUUAGAGUGUUUAAAGCAGACUAUCGUCUGAAUACAUUAGCAUGGAAUAAUGAAAUAGGACGGACUGAUUCUAUUUCGUUGGUUUCUAGGAUCACCGUAAUGAUUAAUAGGGAUAGUGUGGGGCAUUAGUAUUCAAUUGUCAGAGGUGAAAUUCUUGGAUUUAUUGAAGACUAACUACUGCGAAAGCAUUUGCCAAGGAUGUUUUCAUUAAUCAAGAACGAAAGUUAGGGGAUCGAAGACGAUCAGAUACCGUCGUAGUCUUAACCAUAAACUAUGCCGACUAGGGAGCAGACGAUGUUAAUUUUUUAAUGACUCGUUUGGUACCUUACG
rnacentral:rRNA from 1 species